rnacentral:rRNA from 1 species
UGAGUGCGAGCUGCUACGGCAGCGAAGUUGGUGACGUCAUGCUUCCAAGAAAAGCCCUACACCCGUUAAGGCAUCAUGGCCUGUACCCGAAACCGACACAGGUGGGGUGGUAGAGAAUACCGAGGGGCGCGAGGUAACUCUCUCUAAGGAACUCGGCAAAAUGGCCCCGUAACUUCGGGAGAAGGGGUGCCACCGCAAGGUGGUCGCAGUGAAGAGGCCCAGGCGACUGUUUACCAAAAACACAGGUCUCCGCUAAGUCGCAAGACGAUGUAUGGGGGCUGACGCCUGCCCAGUGCCGGAAGGUUAAGGAAGCUGGUCAGCGCAAGCGAAGCUGGCGACUGAAGCCCCGGUGAACGGCGGCCGUAACUAUAACGGUCCUAAGGUAGCGAGAUUCCUUGUCGGGUAAGUUCCGACCCGCACGAAAGGCGUAACGAUCUGGGCGCUGUCUCGGAGAGAGGCUCGGCGAAAUAGAAUUGUCUGUGAAGAUGCGGACUACGUGCACCCGGACAGAAAGACCCUAUGAAGCUUUACUGUAGCUUGGUAUUGUGCCCGGGCUCGCAAUGCGCAGGAUAGGUGGGAGGCUUUGAUCAUCGGCUUGCGGGUCGAUGUGAGCCAACGGUGAGAUACCACUCUUUGCGAGCUAGGGUUCUAACGGCCACCCGUCAUCCGGGGGCCGGACAGUACCUGGUGGGCAGUUUGACUGGGGCGGUCGCCUCCUAAAAGGUAACGGAGGCGCGCAAAGGUUUGCUCAGGCUGGUUGGAAAUCAGCCGACGAGUGUAAAAGCAGAAGCAAGCUUGACUGUGAGACCAACUAGUCGAACAGGGAGGAAACUCGGCUUUAGUGAUCCGACGGUUCUGAGUGGAAGGGCCGUCGCUCAACGGAUAAAAGUUACUCUAGGGAUAACAGGCUGAUCUCCCCCAAGAGUUCACAUCGACGGGGAGGUUUGGCACCUCGAUGUCGGCUCAUCGCAACCUGGGGCUGAAGUCGGUCCCAAGGGUUGGGCUGUUCGCCCAUUAAAGCGGUACGCGAGCUGGGUUCAGAACGUCGUGAGACAGUUCGAUCCAUAUCCGGUGCACGCGCAGGAAUAUUGAGAGGAUUUCUCCCUAGUACGAGAGGACCGGGAGGAACGCACCUCUGGUGUACCAGUUAUCGUGCCAACGGUAAACGCUGGGUAGCCAUGUGCGGAGUGGAUAACCGCUGAAAGCAUCUAAGUGGGAAGCCCACCUCAAGAUGAGUAUUCCCAUGGCGUAAGCCAGUAAGGUCACGGGAAGAACACCCGUUGAUAGGCUCUAUGUGGAUGCGCAGUAAUGCGUGAAGCAGAGGAGUACUAAUAGACCGAGGGCUUGACC